GACGAACGCUGGCGGCGUGCCUAAUACAUGCAAGUAGAACGCUGAAGAGAGGAGCUUGCUCUUCUUGGAUGAGUUGCGAACGGGUGAGUAACGCGUAGGUAACCUGCCUGGUAGCGGGGGAUAACUAUUGGAAACGAUAGCUAAUACCGCAUAAAAUUGAUUAUUGCAUGAUAAUUAAUUGAAAGAUGCAACUGCAUCACUACCAGAUGGACCUGCGUUGUAUUAGCUAGUUGGUGAGGUAACGGCUCACCAAGGCGACGAUACAUAGCCGACCUGAGAGGGUGAUCGGCCACACUGGGACUGAGACACGGCCCAGACUCCUACGGGAGGCAGCAGUAGGGAAUCUUCGGCAAUGGGGGGAACCCUGACCGAGCAACGCCGCGUGAGUGAAGAAGGUUGUCGGAUCGUAAAGCUCUGUUGUAAGAGAAGAACGGGUGUGAGAGUGGAAAGUUCACACUGUGACGGUAGCUUACCAGAAAGGGACGGCUAACUACGUG
rnacentral:rRNA from 1 species